rnacentral:rRNA from 1 species
UACGUAGGUGGCAAGCGUUGUCCGGAAUUAUUGGGCGUAAAGCGCGCGCAGGCGGUCCUUUAAGUCUGAUGUGAAAGCCCACGGCUCAACCGUGGAGGGUCAUUGGAAACUGGGGGACUUGAGUGCAGAAGAGGAAAGCGGAAUUCCACGUGUAGCGGUGAAAUGCGUAGAGAUGUGGAGGAACACCAGUGGCGAAGGCGGCUUUCUGGACAGGUACUGACGCUGAGACGCGAAAGCGUGGGGAGCAAACAGG